ACAUAUAAUAAAGUAAACUCAAUGUGUACACGUGGCAACUUUUUAGAUGAAUGAAUUGUUGAUUUUGGCGGGGGUUUGGUAUUGAGAAUGAGUUCGUAUAUGGGUCUAUACAUACCCGAAUUCCUCUUGAUUCGGAUCCAUUAGAAACAAAAGAACCCCUUAUCCCUCUUUUGCAGAAACCCUAGCGUCAAAAUCUCUCAGCCAAUCUCUCAGCCAAUUCCUUCUUCUUCCCUUCAAUGCACAGCGAUCUACAAGAUGAUAAAGGCGUUUGGUUUAUGAUGUGCUUUUGAAGCAGGCAACUUUAGUUAAAGAUCAAGUUAUUGAGAAGUGAAGAAGUUUGUUCAGAGUAUGCCAAGACACUCUAUUUAGAUGAUGUUGCUUCAGUUGCACUCAUUCCAACUCCAGUUUCAGUUUCAACAAAUCCAAAGUGGCUACUGAACUCGCAUUAAAAUACAUUACACUUAGACCUUUCAGUUGGGAUCAAGAUACUGACAAAGUCAAUGGUAAUACCAACGGUUCUAGGAACAAAACCAGAAUUACUCUGACAAUUUAUGUGUUCUUUUGAACGAAGAUAGAAUCUUGAUUAUAAAAAAGAACUCCAAAUCUAAUGAAUCUGUUUGGUUUCUUGAGGUAAUAGUAUUCACAUUUAUUGAUCUUGAAAUGAUAGCGUUCGUUAGGUUUUAUUAGGUGGACACACAAUUUAGACGAGACCAAAAAAGUUUGAAACAAAAGUUGUUGCUUGGAGUGAGGGGUUAUUGGUAAUGCUGAGCGGCCCAUAGUAAUUAGUAGCCCGUGUAUGUCGGGUUUGUAAUAUGUCAAAAACGUUUUGUCAAGUGAUGGUUUGAUUUGAAUUCACUAAAUUUUAUGGUUUGCAAGUAUAUCAUGAAGAUAUGAAGAUGUUUUGAUGAUGAUACCAAGUUUAAACCACUAUAACUAAAUGAAAUUGUUCUGACUUAUUUAGAGAUGUAUGAACAAUUUAUAUAUUUUGUUUAAAAAUUAUGUGUAUUUAAUUU
rnacentral:lncRNA from 1 species